UGACGGUACCUAACCAGAAAGCCACGGCUAACUACGUGCCAGCAGCCGCGGUAAUACGUAGGUGGCAAGCGUUAUCCGGAAUUAUUGGGCGUAAAGCGCGCGCAGGUGGUUUCUUAAGUCUGAUGUGAAAGCCCACGGCUCAACCGUGGAGGGUCAUUGGAAACUGGGAGACUUGAGUGCAGAAGAGGAAAGUGGAAUUCCAUGUGUAGCGGUGAAAUGCGUAGAGAUAUGGAGGAACACCAGUGGCGAAGGCGACUUUCUGGUCUGUAACUGACACUGAGGCGCGAAAGCGUGGGGAGCAAACAGGAUUAGAUACCCUGGUAGUCCACGCCGUAAACGAUGAGUGCUAAGUGU
rnacentral:rRNA from 1 species